rnacentral:tRNA from 1 species
CAGUUGCUGUGGUGUAGUGGUUAUCACGUUUGCUUUACACGCAAAAGGUCUCCGGUUCGAUCCCGGGCAGCAGCAC